rnacentral:rRNA from 1 species
AGUGAACGCUGGCGGUAGGCCUAACACAUGCAAGUCGAACGGCCGCACAGUACUAGCUUGCUCUUACGGUUGGCGACUGGCGUACGGUUGAUGAAUACAUCGCUUUCUACUUUUUCUUGUGUGCUUACGUAGGGACUCUUACGCUAAUACCUCAUACGACCUACGGGUUAAAUCAUUGGAUCUUCCGCCCUUUCGCGUUUCAAUGAGCCGAUUUCGGAUUAGCUAGUUGGCGGGGUAAAGGCCCACCAAGGCGACGAUCCGUAGCUGGUCUGAGAGGAUGAUCAGACACACUGGAAAUGAGACACGGUCAAGACUCCUACGGGAGGCAGCAGUGGGGAAUAUUGGACAAUGGGCGAAAGCCUGAUACAGCCAUACCGCGUGGGUGAAGAAGGACUUCGGGUUGUAAAGCACUUUUGUUGGGAAAGAAAAGCAGAAGGUUAAUACCCAGAUGUUCUGACGGUACCAAAAGAAUAAGCACCGGCUAACUUCGUG